ensembl:lncRNA
GGGCAACAAGAAGUGUUCGAGCCUCGGGUGCCAUGGGAUGGUGCCCCUGAGAUGUCUCAGAUCUGCAGUCAGCAGACGUGUUCGGUCAAGAGCCACACAACCAGCAGAGACCUCCCUUUGGUGUUUCACGUGCAUCCCUGGUGGCCGUCACGACAAUCAUCCGACCCGACAGCCAACUGUCUCCCCACCGGAUGCCUAUGCUGGCUGGAAGCAAGAGGGAGAACACACAUUGAGAAUGCUCGCUUGCGCUUCCUUUCCAAAGAAAAUGAUACAAGAGGCUACUUCUCACGGCCACACAUUCCUCUCCGGUGAAGACAAUGUUACACUGGAAAGUCUUCUAGAGGAUGGAUGGCAACGAACCCCGAUGGUGGUGAUCAUUUCACGAUAGAUGUGGAAACAAAAACCCACCACGCUGGACCCCUCACACGUCUACAGGGAUGCCAGGAGGGUUUUGCUACACGCUCAAACCUGGACCACAGAAGGGCCACGUGUGCUCGUGGCAAUACGUCAUGCACUCCUACUGGAAAACAGCUUUCACUCCACAGGGACAUACUUUUCUUUUUCAUAAAGAAUGUGCAUCAGAGCAAAACAAAGUUGGAAUACUCAAUUUUAAAAUUAGUCACAUAAAUCCCAACACAUUCUGUAACUGUCACUUUCCAUGUCCCAACAUAACGCUACAAAGUGUUAUAUGUGGUAUGAGAAUUUGUUAUAAAUUCCUUUUUCUUAAAUAUUGCUUUAAGAAUUUGGCUCUUUUCUCCUUAGGAUAUAGUAAGAAAUAGUCUUCCUUGCCCAAGGGCAAGUUCCAAAAUUAUUGCUACUAAAGAAAUAUGUAUUCUUACGCUUUUCAGCAUAAAAUGUUAUAAAAGCCUCGUAAAAGAUAUUCUAUAUAGUAACCUCCCCUCUAAAAAAAUUGAGUGCUUGUGAAGACCAUUUUAAAAACAAAACACAGUCAACAAGUAAUAUAUUUUCCCCCUCAUUGUCAUUAUGGAUGAAGAUUUAUUAGUUUCGUUUUGCAAGUUUUACUUGAAGGAUUCUAUUACCAUGUAUUAGGACGGUUCUCACCGAAAGAAAUUUUCUAUAAAAGAUCUUACAGUGACCCCCCUGGUACUUGUCUCAUUUCAUGUUUGAUAAGCCACGUGCACGAAUAAAAUUCUCCAAGAAUUAUCCUUGUUUAACCUGACUCUUGUCCCUUUUAAAAAAAAAAAAAAAUCUGUUCUGUGUAGGCUUUCUUUUUUUUUCCCCCCCGUUUUUGAGCAUCUAAAUCAGUACAAUGUUUGAUGUUAGACCUGUUGUCCUGGAGACCAACUAAAACAAAAGCAGAGUUAUUGUUUAGCUUUGGUAUAUUCUGCAAUAGAUUUAAACACGUAGGAUAUAUACCAACCCUUAUAUCUUCCAACCGUGGAGUUACAAUGAUGGAAUAAGUCACUUAAUGAGAGAGGAAAUAUUACAGACACAGAAUAAAAGUUUGAGACCCAGUUUUUCUUUAAUCCUCUGGGAUAAGCUAUGAAACAAGCAGUCUGAAGAGUGAAUACUCAGUGUCAUGAAUGAUGUGCAUAAGUUUACAAUAAUACGGGCACAAAAGAGAUUGUCGCCUUUAGUACAUUAGGGUCAUUAGAAUUUCUCACAUCCAUGCACCGUUAUUUACUUGCAUGAAUUUACCACAGGUUCGUAGCGGACUUUGCCAUUUAAUGCUUACAGAGCCUAAAGCUUCCAAAAUGCCUAUCUGGCCUGUACAUAUUUCAUUAAAAAUAAACUCUAUAUAAUAAAUAAAUAUAUAAAAUAAAUAAAAUGUUGCCUUUGGAAUUUCUAUAAAUAAAUUUAACUUUUUUUUUGUUUUGUUUUGUAUUUGUUUUCUCGUUUUUUUGUUUUUUGCCUAAGAGGUCUUUGCUUUCAAUUCACUGGGAUGGCACCAGCGAGCAUGAACUGAAAAAGUCUCUGAAGUAAGACUGCACCCUCCACACCUCUGAAAACGCAGCGUGCCCUUGCGAAGGCCACCAGCCCCGAUCCUGAUGAGUCGAAGUAUGGCUGUGCGGAUACAGGAUGAAGUACAACUGAUCAAAAAUGUAAAAGCGCGUCUAAAUCCCAGCAUGCAUCAGGCCGUUGUCCUCUCUGCCUCUCUCUUCAGUUCCCCCUGCUACUCAUCCACGCACACACUCGCACCCCCGCUCAGUCUCCCCCUCCUCCUCGCACAAGAAAUCGAGCAAGUGGGCAGCGGCCGGCCUCCGGGAGGACCAGCCUGUAAGUGCAGAACAGAAUCGGCAUGUUCCCGUCCAAGCCUCCAUCGGACAUCAUGCAUGCGGCAAAGUUUGGCAACAGUGGAGCUGGGGUGACCCCCCAGCUAAUCGAGAAGAACCCACCGCGUGAAACCUUUAUAGUGGUUACUUUUUUUAAGGGCUC